AGCAAUCCUGGUGGCGAGUGGCGAACGGGUGAGUAAUGUAUCGGAACGUACCUUUCAGUGGGGGAUAACGUAGCGAAAGUUACGCUAAUACCGCAUAUUCUGUGAGCAGGAAAGCAGGGGAUCGCAAGACCUUGCGCUGAUUGAGCGGCCGAUAUCAGAUUAGCUAGUUGGUGAGGUAAAGGCUCACCAAGGCGACGAUCUGUAGCGGGUCUGAGAGGAUGAUCCGCCACACUGGAACUGAGACACGGUCCAGACUCCUACGGGAGGCAGCAGUGGGGAAUUUUGGACAAUGGGGGCAACCCUGAUCCAGCCAUGCCGCGUGAGUGAAGAAGGCCUUCGGGUUGUAAAGCUCUUUCAGCCGGGAAGAAAACGCAUGGGUUAAUACCCUGUGUGGAUGACGGUACCGGAAUAAGAAGCACCGGCUAACUACGUGCCAGCAGCCGCGGUAAUACGUAGGGUGCGAGCGUUAAUCGGAAUUACUGGGCGUAAAGCGUGCGCAGGCGGUUUGUUAAGAUAGGCGUGAAAUCUCCGGGCUCAACCUGGGAACUGCGUUUAUGACUGGCAGGCUAGAGUAUGGCAGAGGGGGGUGGAAUUCCACGUGUAGCAGUGAAAUGCGUAGAGAUGUGGAGGAACACCGAUGGCGAAGGCAGCCCCCUGGGCCAAUACUGACGCUCAUGCACGAAAGCGUGGGUAGCAAACAGGAUUAGAUACCCUGGUAGUCCACGCCCUAAACGAUGUCAACUAGGUGUUGGGUGGGUAAAACCAUUUAGUACCGGAGCUAACGCGUGAAGUUGACCGCCUGGGGAGUACGGCCGCAAGGUUAAAACUCAAAGGAAUUGACGGGGACCCGCACAAGCGGUGGAUGAUGUGGAUUAAUUCGAUGCAACGCGAAAAACCUUACCUACCCUUGACAUGUCCAGAAGCUCUUAGAGAUUUGAGUGUGCCCGAAAGGGAACUGGAACACAGGUGCUGCAUGGCUGUCGUCAGCUCGUGUCGUGAGAUGUUGGGUUAAGUCCCGCAACGAGCGCAACCCUUGUCGUUAAUUGCCAUCAUUUAGUUGGGCACUUUAACGAGACUGCCGGUGACAAACCGGAGGAAGGUGGGGAUGACGUCAAGUCCUCAUGGCCCUUAUGGGUAGGGCUUCACACGUCAUACAAUGGUCGGUACAAAGGGUUGCCAACCCGCGAGGGGGAGCUAAUCCCAGAAAGCCGAUCGUAGUCCGGAUCGUAGGCUGCAACUCGCCUGCGUGAAGUCGGAAUCGCUAGUAAUCGUGGAUCAGCAUGUCACGGUGAAUACGUUCCCGGGUCUUGUACACACCGCCCGUCACACCAUGGGAGCGGGUUCCGCCAGAAGUAGGUAGCCUAACCGCAAGGAGGGCGCUUACCACGGCGGGGUUCGUGACUGGGGUGAGGUCGUAACAAGGUA
rnacentral:rRNA from 1 species